GACGAACCGUGCGAACGUUGUUCGGAUUCACUGGGCGUAAAGGGAGCGUAGGCGGCUGUGGUAAGUCAGAUGUGAAAUCCCGGGGCUCAACCCCGGAACUGCAUCCGAUACUGCCAUGCUAGGAGGAUUGGAGAGGUAGCUGGAAUUCUUGGUGUAGCAGUGAAAUGCGUGGAGAUCAAGAGGAACACUCGUGGGCGAAAGCGAGCUACUGGACAAUAUCUGACGCUGGAGGCUACGAAGGCC
rnacentral:rRNA from 1 species